GAUGAACGCUAGCUACAGGCUUAACACAUGCAAGUCGAGGGGUCUUUUGGAGCUUGCUUUAAAAGACGACCGGCGCACGGGUGAGUAACGCGUAUCCAACCUGCCCUUCAUAUUGGGAUAGCCUUCCGAAAGGAAGAUUAAUACCGAAUAACAUGAUAGAGUUGCCUGAUUUUAUCAUGAAAGCUCCGGCGAUGAAGGAUGGGGAUGCGUUCCAUUAGGUAGUAGGCGGGGUAACGGCCCACCUAGCCGACGAUGGAUAGGGGUUCUGAGAGGAAGGUCCCCCACACUGGAACUGAGACACGGUCCAGACUCCUACGGGAGGCAGCAGUGAGGAAUAUUGGUCAAUGGGCGCAAGCCUGAACCAGCCAAGUAGCGUGAAGGAUGACUGCCCUAUGGGUUGUAAACUUCUUUUAUACGGGAACAAACCCCGGUGCGUGUACCGGAUUGCGUGUACCGUAUGAAUAAGCAUCGGCUAACUCCGUGCCAGCAGCCGCCGUAAUAC
rnacentral:rRNA from 1 species